AGUGGGGAAUAUUGGACAAUGGGCGCAAGCCUGAUCCAGCAAUGCCGCGUGAGUGAUGAAGGCCUUCGGGUUGUAAAGCUCUUUCGCACGCGACGAUGAUGACGGUAGCGUGAGAAGAAGCCCCGGCUAACUUCGUGCCAGCAGCCGCGGUAAUACGAAGGGGGCUAGCGUUGUUCGGAAUUACUGGGCGUAAAGGGCGCGUAGGCGGUGCUUCAAGUCAGGCGUGAAAGCCCCGGGCUCAACCUGGGAACCGCGCUUGAGACUGGAGGACUAGAGUUCGGGAGAGGAUGGUGGAAUUCCCAGUGUAGAGGUGAAAUUCGUAGAUAUUGGGAAGAACACCGAUGGCGAAGGCAGCCAUCUGGACCGACACUGACGCUGAGGCGCGAAAGCGUGGGGAGCAAA
rnacentral:rRNA from 1 species